GAUGAACGCUGGCGGCGUGCCUAAUACAUGCAAGUCGAACGCAUUGAGAGAAGUGCUUGCACUUUUCAAUUUGAGUGGCGAACGGGUGAGUAACACGUGGGCAACCUACCUGAUAGCGGGGGAUAACGAGUGGAAACAUUCGCUAAUACCGCGUAACAAUAGAGAAGGCAUCUUCUUUAUUUAAAAGGCGCUUUCAAGCGUCACUAUCAGAUGGGCCCGCGGUGCAUUAGUUAGUUGGUGGGGUGAAGGCCUACCAAGACGAUGAUGCAUAGCCGAGUUGAGAGACUGAUCGGCCACAUUGGGACUGAGACACGGCCCAAACUCCUACGGGAGGCUGCAGUAGGGAAUCUUCCACAAUGGACGAAAGUCUGAUGGAGCAACGCCGCGUGUGUGAUGAAGGCUUUCGGGUCGUAAAGCACUGUUGUAUGGGAAGAAACGCUAGGCUAGGAAAUGAGCUUAGUUUGACGGUACCAUACCAGAAAGGGACGGCUAAAUACGUGCCAGCCGCCGCGGUAA
rnacentral:rRNA from 1 species